UACGGAGGGUGCAAGCGUUAUCCGGAUUCACUGGGUUUAAAGGGUGCGUAGGCGGGUUGGUAAGUCCGUGGUGAAAUCCCCAAGCUUAACUUGGGAACUGCCGUGGAUACUAUCAAUCUUGAAUAUCGUGGAGGUAAGCGGAAUAUGUCAUGUAGCGGUGAAAAUGCUUAGAUAUGACAUAGAACACCAAUUGCGUAGGCAGCUUACUACACGAUCAUUGACGCUGAGGCACGAAAGCGUGGGGAGCAAACAGG
rnacentral:rRNA from 1 species